AUGGCCAUACCAUGUUGAAUAUACCGGUUCUCGUUAGAUCACCGAAGUCAAGCAUCAUUGGGCGCGGUCAGUACUUGGGUGGGUGACCACCUGGGAACACCGCGUGCCGUU
rnacentral:rRNA from 1 species